rnacentral:lncRNA from 1 species
GCGCCCUUGCAUGCAUGAAGGAAAAGGGGAUGCCAAUAGUUGGUGUCCCAUCUCUCUAGGUCUCUCUUUUCUUUUUGGACACUCUUUUCUAUUUGAAUUUGAUUCAGAUUAGGAAGAGUAUCCUAUCCCAUAUGGUAAGAGGUUGGGAGGUUUUUGUGCGGCAAAAUUAAAAAGGACGGCAUGUAUUGGCAUGCAAGGGGUUCAAGAUGUUUUCUUACUUGCUGUAAGACUUUCUCAAUGCCAUCUCUCCCUCCUUUCUUCCACAUCCCAACGCCCCUUCUCUCUCUAGAUAGGAUCUGAGAGAGAGAGUGAUCAAAGAGAGAGAAAAAGAAGAAAAAGGAGUUUUCUUCUUUUCUUGAUGGUCCUAUUCAGAUCCCAUCAGAUCAGCACGAUGAGAUCGUACUGCAGUCCUGUUAUUGGAGAUCUUGAAAGAGCCCAGAUCCAAGUAAAGGAGCGAGGCCUAUAAGGUUCUGGCAUUCCGGUGGUCUCGGUGCUCUAAUUAGGUCAUCUUCAUAUGGGUACUAGUAAAGGUUAGGCACUUGCAUGGCUACGUCAGAAAUCUAGAAAAUCCAUAGGAUUCGAUCCGAGUAAGACAAUGGA